AAAGGGAGGUAAUCCAUUUUUUUCAUAUGAUUUUAUACAUUAUGAGGAGAAAUAUGUGCAAAAUGUGAUGUAAAUGGGGAGAAUAUUUAUGCCUUUCAUUGAUAUCAUAACUCUCAAGUGUAAUUUCUAUUGUUUCUUUCAAUCUGGACACAAAAACUGAUUUUUACCAUAUACUCCAUGCUUCUCUCACAGUAUACUGAGUGCAUCCUGGAUAGCCGCAGUUAAAGAUAGAAAUUUGUGUAAAAAGCAACUUCAAAAGGUUCCAAAAUCCUUCCAUUACAUUAACAUUUACAGGAAAUGAGUUUUGUGAUUAUUGUGUGGCCUUGGACAAGUACAGUGAAAAAGUGCAUAUUUUCCUAUAGGGGUAAAUUCAGUAAAAAAUCUCCCAUUGACUUUAAUGCUAAUCUAUGUGUGGAAAUAAAUUUAUACCUGAUUUACCUUUAGAAAUUAAAAACUUUCAUAUAUCAUUCAUGAAAGUACAAAUGUAGCCCUAUCUUUUGCAACAAUAAAAACAUAGGGUCAUGCGGCAUUUUUGGGCAUUCACAUGGCCUUGUUUACAAACAAUGUAGAUUCGCACUGAAUUCCUAUACUGACCCCCAUUACUUUUCAACCCUGUAGGGAAAAAAAAUAGUACAUUCAGCAUUAAUUUUUUUUUUUUUUUUCAACUCUAGUUUUGAUCCAUCUACCAUAAAAUAUUUAUUACAAACAUUAUCUACCAAUCAGAAGAGCACAUGACUUCACUUUUAGACAGAAAGCUCUCCCCCAAAUGGGCGGUCCCUGAUGAUGUAUAUUUAUUUACUGAAUUUACCCCUAUAAGGGACUUUUUUACUUCUUUUCCAACUUUUUUUGUAAUAAACAUGUAAUGUAUCCAAUUUUCCAAGUUCCAGUUUCAAUACAACCUUCAUAAAUGCUGAAUUUGUAAAGAUAGAGCAAAAUUUAUACUACAGCCCAUACUGCGGCCAAUGUAUAUUUG
rnacentral:lncRNA from 1 species